rnacentral:rRNA from 1 species
UAGGGAAUAUUGGUAAUGGGCGAAAGCCUGAACCAGCAACGCCGCGUGUGCGAAGAAGGCCUUCGGGUUGUAAAGCACUUUUUAAGGGGAUGAGGAAGGACAGUACCCUUAGAAUAAGCCUCGGCUAACUACGUGCCAGCAGCUGCGGUAACACGUAGGAGGCAAGCGUUAUUCGGAUUUACUGGGCGUAAAGCGCGUGCAGGCGGUUUGGUGAGUUGGAUGUGAAAGCUCCCGGCCUAACUGGGAGAGGUCGUUCAAUACUACCAGACUAGAGGAUGGGAGAGGGAGGUGGAAUUCCGGGCGUAGUGGUGAAAUGCGUAGAUAUCCGGAGGAACACCAGUGGCGAAAGCGGCCUCCUGGCCCAUUUCUGACGCUCAGACGCGAAGGCUAGGGUAGCAAACGG